rnacentral:rRNA from 1 species
AGAGUUUGAUCCUGGCUCAGAAUGAACGUUGGCGGCGUGGAUUAGGCAUGCAAGUCGCGCGGGUGUAGCAAUACAUCAGCGGCGUAAGGGACAGGAAUACGUAGACAACCUACCCUCGGGACCUGAAUAGCUGCGGGAAACUGCAGGUAAUGCGGGAUAACGUCUCCGGGCCAAAGGUGUGAGUCCGCCGGAGGAUGGGUCUGCGUCCUAUUAGCUAGUUGGUGAGGUAAUGGCUCACCAAGGCAAUGAUGGGUAGCAGGUGUGAGAGCACGACCUGCGUCACUGGGACUGAGACACUGCCCAGACACCUACGGGUGGCUGCAGUCGAGGAUUUUCGUCAAUGGGCGCAAGCCUGAACGAGCGACGCCGCGUGCGGGAUGAAGGCCUUCGGGUUGUAAACCGCUGUCAGUGGGGGGGAAAUGCAUGUGGGUACUCCCACAUGUUUGACUAAUCCGCAGAGGAAGUGUGGGCUAAGCUCGUGCCAGCAGCCGCGGUAAGACGAGCCACACAAACGUUAUUCGGAAUCACUGGGCUUAAAGGGUGCGUAGGCUGUGCAGAAAGUUGGGUGUGAAAUCCGACAGCUUAACUGUCGAAGUGCACUCAAUACUACUGUGCUAGAGGAAGACAGAGGUAAGCGGAACUGAGGGUGGAGCGGUGAAAUGCGUUGAUAUCCUCAGGAACACCGGUGGCGAAGGCGGCUUACUGGGUCUUUUCUGACGCUGAGGCACGAAAGCUAGGGGAGCGAACGGGAUUAGAUACCCCGGUAGUCCUAGCCGUAAACAAUGAGCACUGGAUUGAAG